UCGGGGAUGAAGUCCGGCUCCCGUAGGAGUCCGGACGAAGUCUUCCUACAGUCAGAGUCGGGGAUGAAGUCCGGCUCCCGUAGGAGUCCGGACGAAGUCUUCCUGCAGUCGGAGUCGGGGACGAAGUCUGGGUCCCGUAGGAGUCCGGACGAAGUCUUCCUGUAGUCGGAGUCGGGGAUGAAGUCCGGCUCCCGUAGGAGUCUGGACGAAGUCUUCC
rnacentral:lncRNA from 1 species